UACUAUAGCUUGACACUGAACAUUGAGCCUUGAUGUGUAGGAUAGGUGGGAGGCUUUGAAGUGUGGACGCCAGUCUGCAUGGAGCCGGCCUUGAAAUACCACCCUUUAAUGUUUGAUGUUCUAACGUUGACCCGUAAUCCGGGUUGCGGACAGUGUCUGGUGGGUAGUUUGACUGGGGCGGUCUCCUCCUAAAGAGUAACGGAGGAGCACGAAGGUUGGCUAAUCCUGGUCGGACAUCAGGAGGUUAGUGCAAUGGCAUAAGC
rnacentral:rRNA from 1 species